AACGAACGCUGGCGGCAUGCCUAACACAUGCAAGUCGAACGAACCCUUCGGGGUUAGUGGCGCACGGGUGCGUAACGCGUGGGAAUCUGCCCUUUGCUUCGGAAUAACAGUUAGAAAUGACUGCUAAUACCGGAUGAUGUCUUCGGACCAAAGAUUUAUCGGCAAAGGAUGAGCCCGCGUAGGAUUAGGUAGUUGGUGGGGUAAAGGCCUACCAAGCCGACGAUCCUUAGCUGGUCUGAGAGGAUGAUCAGCCACACUGGGACUGAGACACGGCCCAGACUCCUACGGGAGGCAGCAGUGGGAAUAUUGGACAAUGGACGCAAGUCUGAUCCAGCAAUGCCGCGUGAGUGAUGAAGGCCUUAGGGUUGUAAAGCUCUUUUACCAGGGAUGAUAAUGACAGUACCUGGAGAAUAAGCUCCGGCUAACUCCGUGCCAGCAGCCGCGGUAACAC
rnacentral:rRNA from 1 species